GUAUGGCGUCGAAUGGGCAGUCGAUCAAGUGCCGACUUAUAGCUGAUCACAAGUCGAACCAAAUCAGUCAAAUAUCGAAUAUAUGUCGAAUAGUUGUCGAUCAGCCAUGGAUUGUAUGUUGGAUCAAGUUAGUAGAUUGUCAAUUUAGUCAGAUCCUGCUGCUUUUAAUCGGUCGAAUGUCAAUUAGACUAAACUCCGUCGAUCUAAGUUGGCUUGAUCUGUAAUACAAUUUUAAUCGAUUGAAUUCAUAAUCAAAUUGAUGCGGAGA
rnacentral:lncRNA from 1 species